GUGGGGAAUUUUGGACAAUGGGCGCAAGCCUGAUCCAGCCAUUCCGCGUGAGUGAAGAAGGCCUUCGGGUUGUAAAGCUCUUUCGGCAGGAACGAAACGGUCGUCUCUAACAUAGAUGGUUAAUGACGGUACCUGAAGAAGAAGCACCGGCUAACUACGUGCCAGCAGCCGCGGUAAUACGUAGGGUGCGAGCGUUAAUCGGAAUUACUGGGCGUAAAGCGUGCGCAGGCGGUUCUAUAAGACAGAUGUGAAAUCCCCGGGCUUAACCUGGGAACUGCGUUUGUGACUGUAGGACUCGAGUGUGGCAGAGGGGGGUGGAAUUCCACGUGUAGCAGUGAAAUGCGUAGAGAUGUGGAGGAACACCGAUGGCGAAGGCAGCCCCCUGGGUCAACACUGACGCUCAUGCACGAAAGCGUGGGUAGCAAACAGGAUUAGAUACCCCUGUAGUCC
rnacentral:rRNA from 1 species